rnacentral:rRNA from 1 species
GACGAACGCUGGCGGCGUGCUUAACACAUGCAAGUCGAACGGAAAGGCCCUGCUUUUGUGGGGUGCUCGAGUGGCGAACGGGUGAGUAACACGUGAGUAACCUGCCCUUGACUUUGGGAUAACUUCAGGAAACUGGGGCUAAUACCGGAUAGGAGCUCCUGCUGCAUGGUGGGGGUUGGAAAGUUUCGGCGGUUGGGGCUGGACUCGCGGCUUAUCAGCUUGUUGGUGGGGUAGUGGCUUACCAAGGCUUUGACGGGUAGCCGGCCUGAGAGGGUUACCGGCCACAUUGGGACUGAGAUACGGCCCAGACGCCUACGGGAGGCAGCAGGCGGGAAUAUUGCACAGUGGGCGGAAGCCUGAUGCAGCGACGCCGCGUGCGUGAUAACGGCCUUCGGGUUGUAAACCGCUGUCGCCUGUGACGAAGCGUGAGUGACGGUAAUGGGUAAAGAAGCACCGGCUAACUACGUG